UUGCCAUGCUUCACCUCUCUCUGGAUCAGGUGUUGUCGUGGAAGUGCCGGCCGGUUGCCGCCGGCCGAUGCGCUU
rnacentral:sRNA from 1 species